AACGAACGCUGGCGGCAUGUCUAACACAUGCGAGUCGAACGAGACCUUCGGGUCUAGUGGCGCACGGGUGCGUAACGCGUGGGAACCUGCCCUUAGGUUCGGAAUAACUCCCCGAAAGGGGUGCUAAUACCGGAUAAUGUCUUCGGACCAAAGAUUUAUCGCCUUUGGAUGGGCCCGCGUUGGAUUAGCUAGUUGGUAGGGUAAAAGCCUACCAAGGCGACGAUCCAUAGCUGGUCUGAGAGGAUGAUCAGCCACACUGGGACUGAGACACGGCCCAGACUCCUACGGGAGGCAGCAGUGGGGAAUAUUGGACAAUGGGCGAAAGCCUGAUCCAGCAAUGCCGCGUGAGUGAUGAAGGCCUUAGGGUUGUAAAGCUCUUUUACCCGGGAUGAUAAUGACAGUACCGGGAGAAUAAGCUCCGGCUAACUCCGUG
rnacentral:rRNA from 1 species